UACGUAGGGUGCAAGCGUUGUCCGGAAUUAUUGGGCGUAAAGAGCUCGUAGGCGGUUUGUCGCGUCUGCCGUGAAAGCCCAUGGCUUAACUGUGGGUCUGCGGGCGAUACGGGCAGACUGGAGUACUGCAGGGGAGACUGGAAUUCCUGGUGUAGCGGUGGAAUGCGCAGAUAUCAGGAGGAACACCGGUGGCGAAGGCGGGUCUCUGGGCAGUAACUGACGCUGAGGAGCGAAAGCGUGGGGAGCGAACAGG
rnacentral:rRNA from 1 species